rnacentral:misc_RNA from 1 species
GCUUUUUGUUGCUAAAAAUUGGACACUUCGAGGUCUCUGUAUUGGAUUCAUUAUUUUCCUUGCUAUUAUUUGGAUAUUGCAAGAAAAAACAAAAUUACGGAUUCUUCGAUAUGUCAUUCUCUUCAUUGGAGUGAUGAACAGCUUGUUCUCAGUUUAUGAUAUUUAUGAUGAUCUAAUAUCUCGAAGAGUCCACUCUAGCGAUGCUGAGAAGUUUGCGGAACUUUGCCCCUGUCCUUGUAAUGGUGUUGGUUGGGGAGUUAUUUGGG